rnacentral:rRNA from 1 species
UACGUAGGGCGCAAGCGUUGUCCGGAAUUAUUGGGCGUAAAGAGCUCGUAGGCGGUUUGUCGCGUCUGCUGUGAAAACUCGAGGCUCAACCUCGGGCUUGCAGUGGGUACGGGCAGACUAGAGUGUGGUAGGGGAGAUCGGAAUUCCUGGUGUAGCGGUGGAAUGCGCAGAUAUCAGGAGGAACACCGGUGGCGAAGGCGGAUCUCUGGGCCAUAACUGACGCUGAGGAGCGAAAGCAUGGGGAGCGAACAGG